GACAAACUUUAAACUCACGAAUGCUUCCGUCCCAACAGCCCACCUUCCUCUGUAUAGUGAAAUGUGUGUUCAUAUGAACCCUACAUUCGAAUAGCUUUGCUAUUCUAGUGAAUGCAUCUGAGUGGUAUUUCACCAGAUGGUGCGCUCAGAUCCCAGCUAUUCAAUGAAGGGUCAUUCGGCUAAUUCUGAGUAAAAUUGUAUCAGUUAUGCAUUUUUUAUGUGAAACUGUAUAUUUUGCUGUACAGAGAGAUAAUGUAAUUAACAGUAUAUUCUUGCGCAAUUAUCUCUCCAAUACAGCAGUGUAUGAUGGGAAAUGCC